rnacentral:rRNA from 1 species
UACGUAGGGUGCGAGCGUUAAUCGGAAUUACUGGGCGUAAAGCGUGCGCAGGCGGCUUUGCAAGUCAGACGUGAAAUCCCCGGGCUUAACCUGGGAAUGGCGUUUGAAACUACGGAGCUGGAGUGUGGCAGAGGGAGGUAGAAUUCCACGUGUAGCGGUGAAAUGCGUAGAUAUGUGGAGGAAUACCGAUGGCGAAGGCAGCCUCCUGGGCCAACACUGACGCUCAUGCACGAAGGCGUGGGGAGCAAACAGG